UACGUAGGGGGCCAGCGUUGUCCGGAUUCAUUGGGCGUAAAGCGCGUGUAGGCGGCCAGGUAGGUCCGAUGUGAAAUCUGGAGGCUCAACCUCCAGCGGUCAUUGGAAACCAUCUGGCUAGAGUCCGGAAGAGGAGAGUGGAAUUCCUGGUGUAGCGGUGAAAUGCGCAGAUAUCAGGAAGAACACCAAUGGCGAAAGCAGCUCUCUGGGACGGUACUGACGCUGAGACGCGAAAGCGUGGGGAGCGAACAGG
rnacentral:rRNA from 1 species